rfam:Botryotinia fuckeliana BcDW1 unplaced genomic scaffold Scaffold_72, whole genome shotgun sequence.
GCCCGUUUGGCGUAGUGGUUAACGCGCAUCACUGUAAGUACCAAGCAUUGCCAACAAAGAUAGGUAUGAAUAAAGGAGCUAACCAAUGAACCAUAGCGUAUCGACGAAUACAAAAAUGAUGAGAUCCAAGGUUCGAAUCCUUGAUCGGGCU